UAUUUCUACAUUGAGUAGAAAUAAAAAAUGAUCAGACUGUUAGUAGAGUACACGCAAGAAGAAAAGUAACUGCACUAGAUUGUAGAGACUGGGGAGGACCUUUUUCUUAAUGUCCAGUGUCCUAUGUUGUAAGAUCUGGUGCAAUAUGU